rnacentral:lncRNA from 1 species
CUAUGAUGUGUACAGGCGUUUGGACGGUCAAAUGAUGGGCCAAAUUCAAUUAAAAGCUUCUUUCUCUUCAUAACUUCAUUUUUAUCUUCUUUAAUCCCAAAAUUCCAGUUAAACAAGUGAGUGAGAGGGGAGGUUGAGAGCAGAAAACAAUAGAGAGAGAGCGUGUGUGACGCACCAGAAUAGAGUAUACAUUUUGUGUGCGUAACAGAGGGGGGAACUUCUUCUUCUCGUCGAGAUAGGUUGUUUCUUCUUGUUUUGAAUUGUUUUGUUUCUCUCUUUAAUAUCUUACGAUCACUUCUACACAAAAAUCUCUCUCAAAUUGUAGUAGAAAGCUCUAGAACCCAAAACUGUUGUUCUUGCACCUAAACGAGGCCUCUAUUCAGGUAAGCAUUUGUUCUUCGUCCAAUUCCACUUAUAUUUUAUGUUUCCUUUCAAAAAUUUAUUGUCAAUCACUAAGAUAAUGUGUUAGGAGUGUUAGGAUUUUAUUUCCAAAAGUAAAAAAACUUUUAAACUCAAAUCUACUCAAAUCAUCAUUCUACUCUGCAAGAACAACUACUUCGAGUGCAGAGAAGAAUUCUUGAAUUUCCUGCAUUUUCUUCAUACGAUUUAGCUUCUAUCGUGUGCGUUUAAUGGGUAAGAUGGGUAGAAAUCUUGUUGAUGCAUGAUUUUAGAUUUUUAGAUACAUUUGACGAUUAAACUGCUUAAAUAAAUUUGGUGAUGCUGCAUUUGUUAAGCUAAUGUAUGUGUGUCUCAUGAAAUGUGAUUUUUACAAAUUAAGAUGAUAUUGUUUGUGCAUGAAUGAAUGGAGUGAACUGGUGUUGGUGAUUCAAGGAAUUGAACCGAAUGGUUCUAUCACAAGCACGCGGCACCAAAGGUGUAGCUGCUGGUGGGCGUGUGCUGUCCUGCAGCUUACGGGCAUGCAUGGGACGUUUCUAGACACCCAGAACAGUUCGAAAAUGCCCCUCAAGCACGGGCUGAGUUAGAAGAAAAAGGAAAUUUAUAAAAUUUGGGAUUAUAAAAAUUAUUUGAGAAAAAAUGGGUCAAUUAGUAAGGAUGAAUGAUUUAAAUUAAAAUGGAAAGGUAAAAACUAGAUCACUUGAUAAAUAGUUAAAUUCUGUUAGUAAUAUUAGGACUUAAAUAUAAAAAUAAGAAAAUUUAUAAGUUAUAAAAUAAACUAAAAUAUUGAGAAGAAUUAAGAUUUUAAUUUUCUAGAAUGUAAUAAAAAUUAUGAAUUUAGGAAAGAUAAUGAAAUCUAAGAAUUUAACCAAAUAAAAUAAAAAUAAAAAAUUUAAACAAAUAUAGAAUCUGGUUUAAAUCCAAUUCACUGUAUUUGUUCAAGAGCCACUAUAUUAUGGGUGCAAGUUUUGGUUCCUUAAUGGGACAUGUAGUUUAGUUGUCCUUAGGGACUCUGGGUGAUUUGAUAUUCAUGUUCCAGGGACUAAAGGCAUGAAUGAUGGCAACAUGAUAGAUUUAAGAGAAUUACAUUUGUAUUUAUUAUCUGUGAUUGUAUGUUUGUAAGCAUUUGCGCACCCACGCAUGACUAGUUGGUAUCCCGCUUGCCUUAUUUGGAAAUAGUGUAAGUGGCUGCACAAAUAAGUUUGUAAUCAGUGUAAUUUAAAUUAACAUAAUAAUUGGUAAUUAAAAUUAUGUCAGAAAACAAGUUUGGUUCUAGGUGCGUGAGUUGUAUGAGAUGAACAUUUGAGCUGGAUAUGAAUAUUGGUUAUGGGAUUUGACUAUGGCAUUUGAUUUGAUUUGUUAAUUAAAUUGGUAACUCUUGUUUUUCAAGUAUGCAUUAAUGAAGGUUUGAAACGUAUAUAGGUUGCAUUAUUUCAUUCUAUCUUACUGAGUAUUCGAACUCAUUCAAAUCCAACCCCUCCCUUAUAUGCAAAUUUAAAAGAAAACACUGGAGAGCUCUAUUUAGAUUCCUUUCGGGAAGUGUAGUUUGGAGCAGACUUUGAAUUCUAUUUUAUACCUGAGGCUAGUAUUUUGUAACUAGGUUAUCUCUUUUGUAUUUUGAAAUGUAGAUAGCCUAUUGGACAUCAGUAUAUAAUCUUUUAUCAAUUUUGUAUGGGAUGUAUAGUUCUGCUACAAUAUAAAUAUUUAUAUUAUGUCUACUUUAUCGCACAUUGGUGCCCCUAUUUGGCAUCGAGAUGUCACACAUAGCCACGAUUUCCUUUAUGGCCAUGAACGCUUAAGCUUAUGUAUCCAUGAUCCCUCAUGUGGUCAUUAGCUUUUAUGUUUCUUUGAGCUUCCAUGUAAUCUAUGAUGAUUUAUGCAACCUUGAUCUCUAUUAGAGCCUUCCUAAUCAUGUUUAUAAC